rnacentral:rRNA from 1 species
UACGGGGGGGGCAAGCGUUGUUCGGAAUUACUGGGCAUAAAGGGCUCGUAGGCGGCCAACUAAGUCAGACGUGAAAUCCCUCGGCUUAACCGGGGAACUGCGUCUGAUACUGGAUGGCUUGAAUCCGGGAGAGGGAUGCGGAAUUCCAGGUGUAGCGGUGAAAUGCGUAGAUAUCUGGAGGAACACCGGUGGCGAAGGCGGCAUCCUGGACCGGCAUUGACGCUGAGGAGCGAAAGCCAGGGGAGCAAACGGG